UGUACCUGUGAUGAUGUCCUCGAUGGCUCCGUCCUUCCCCUCCCUCACCAGAGGAGACACCUGUCUCUUCUUCAGCUCUGCUAUCAGAUCCAUCUGUGGCAUUCUGGACGUCACACAGACCUGAAACAUCCAACAUGUGUAUUUUAGGGUAAUUAAAGCUGACCUGGGCGGUUUUUCCGUCCGCUAUGAGCGAGUGGAGCAGCUCCGCGUUGCUGCUGAGGAACGUCUGCAGCACAGGAUUGUCUUUUUCUACGGAGAACUCCCUCCUGGUCACCUCCAUGCCUCUCUCCAGAGCACGCACAUCCUGCAGGAUGCUGUCCAGAGAAACUACAAGAGACAAAGAGCAGAAAGGGCGAAGUCCAAUCUGGCCUCUAUUCACGUGCUCACCCAGCGCCGCCUUGUCCAGGAAGUGCAGCUCAGCGUAGAAGGACCGGACCUCGGGGUAUUUCUCCUGGAUGAUGCUGACGAUGAAGUGCAGCAACGUCUGCUUUCGGUCUGUAG